UAUGUCUUCUCUCUCAUUUGUAAGUAUAUUGUUCUAAAAUAAUCUCAGAUCUUUUAUUUUUUAACUAUAUUUUGAAGUAAACAAAAAGUUACACAAGUUGUAUAUAAAAAGUUCAAUAAAUUUGCUCAGGUGAACAAACCUAUGUAAUCCACACUCACAUCAAGAAAAAGAACAUGACCAGCAUCUCAGAGUC